AUAUAUAGCAGUAUAUAAAGAGAUAGCUGUGGACCUCUUACCUUUAGUUUAUCGGUAAAAGUUAGAUAUAAAGAUACGUUUAUAAGACUUUCUUAGUAAACAAUUACCUAAAAUUAUAAUUUGCUCUCUGUCCUCACUAGAGUGACCACCUGUGCCGCUUUACGUUGUAUGUUUUUUCCCGCGUCACGCAAAUUGAACAUUUUGUCCCACUUUUUCAUUCGCCAUUACUUAAUUGAAAAUAAACUAUUUUAUGUACAUAGCUGUCUAUGGGCACGACUACUAGUGCAAACCAUAGCAAUGAUAGGCCACUUGGUGGAUAGGGCGGUAGCUGACAGGCUGAGUGGUGUGUCAAUCAAACUGUUGACUCGCAUCAAUCAGACAAACUUUAGCGUCUGAAAACGUACGGCGCGCAGUUUUUUGAUACUGUAAAGGCAUCCAUGUGCAGUGUGACGACAAAAAAUAUGUUUUUUUUGCUGAGACCGGUGGAUGGAGAUUCUGAACGAGCACUCUGCAGUGGAAAAACGGCUUGUUUGUCGAUGAAUCAUCGUGAAGGGGAAACGACACGAUGCACAAACGUGCUGAGAAAGGCUGUUGGCCUGCCGCUUGCUGGAUCAGAUGUUUGGCGGCGUUGUAUUGAGACUCGUGCAUUAUCUGCCAGGGUGCUCCAGGACACGAGCUCUGACAGGAAUCUUCACCAGAGUCCUUCACUUCUAUCAGUGUCUUCAGCCUUUCCUCUGGAAGAGAAGAGGAAACGGACAGUCCUCCCAUCCUAAAUGUGGACCACUGACCUUGGCGGAGGAGAAUCUCUGAUGUGGUUUCCUGUUUUCUCCCUCCUGACUCAACCCAGCCUUGGUUUAUCCCUGACAUCAGAAAGUCCUUAAAGGUGUCUCACCUUCUGGGCCUCGUCCAGAACUCGGAGCAGGUUCAUUCCCAGAGCGGCUUUCACCUCCACAUCAGUCCAUCCUCGUCUCAGCAGUUCAGCCACCAGUUUAGGAACCUUGGAAACAUCCUCCAAACCUUCUGGCAGUCUGAGAAUGUAACACAAAUGUUGUUUUCAGGUGACAGGUCAUCCCUGCAUGCAUUUGUAUCCAUUACACCCAUUUUAAAUAUAUUUUGUUAUUUUCUAAAUAUAACUAAAUAAAAAGAAAUCAGCACAUGAUACUGUAACUUACAAUUCAGAGAUUAAUAUUUUAAAAAAAAUAAUAAAACCUGUAUGUCAUAUAGCUAAGCUGCUUUCAUUUUUAGUUUCUCCUGUAAAUCUUUAAUUCAGUUUGUUUUCAUUUACGGCGUGAAAAUUAGAAAUCACAUUGAAAAUAGACAAUGAACCUGAAUAACUCUUGAAUAAGUACAUUUAACUAGAGAAUACAACUGUUGUGUAGAAACUGUACAACCACAGCAUAUUUACUAUAAAAACAUGUUAUUUAAUUAUUAAAUAAAUACUUUGCUGAAGUAAAA